CAGGGAAGGAACCAGAUGUUCUUUCCAGGGACCCAAACUGCCAGUGGAGCCUAUGACUGGCUGUGGCAGGCAACAACCUUCCCUAGUUGCUUGGAGGGAAGGCAAACCAGUGUCCCGGCAGACUGAGACACCCAACGAAGAGGUGGAGAGCGAGACACCCAACAAAGAGACCGGGAACCAGGCCACAGAUCAGCCCCACCAGAUGCCAGUAGGAGAAUCCAAGCUGAUGGUAUAAGCCCUAUUGCAUAGAGCCUCUUCAUGAGUGUUAUGGGGCAAUUAACAAAGCCUUUGUGUUCGGAUGUCCCACAGUGGCCCAUUUGGAUUCAGUAGUGCUUCCUGAAGGGCAAGAGCUGAAUCUCUAAUUUGACAAUUUUGGCAUCCCAACAACUUCAGGGAUGGAAAGAAGGAGAUAUUCUGCUUCAAGGCUCCACCACAUUUAUUAAUAUGCAGCCAAGCUCAACUGAGGAUGAUAUUCAGGGAACUAGAGUGGCCCUGAUCACCUGAGAUGAGACACUACCAAUCUGCCUUCUUUGUGUCAUUCAGUUAUUCAACAGCAGCACAAAGAUUCUGUCUGUCAUUGGGGACAAAAAAAAAUCCCAAUCAAAAGAUGAGCAUGGAGUGGACUGAAUGGCUGGGAGAAUUAAUACUGGGAGCUUUGCAACACCCGAC